AAUCUAUUUUUUCAGAAAAAAUUAGAGGAAAGCAAAGUAGUGUUUUUCUAUCCGCAUUUUAAGUGAAAUGUUUGAUUUUUGUUUCAGAUGUCAAGCGAUUCGCCGAAUCUCGUAAGCAUCCUCCCGCCAAAGCGAGUUAUCAUGAGUGCUAUCGUGAACGCCAUAAGUACAAUCCGAUGGAAAUCCGUCAGUAUCAUAACCAAUUCAGAUGAAAACUGGUGGUCGGAUCUAGCCUUCCGUCUCGGUUUUGCAAUCAAAGCAGCCAAUCGAACUCUAGUCAAAAAUUUAUCUUCCUCACAAGAAAUGACUCUCAGGAAUUGUUGGAACGAAACAUUUCAAAAUUAAAACUAUCAAUCAAUACCGGUGUGAUCCUCUGCAUGCCGUUCGGCGAGGCCCUGUCGCAGCGGCUCUUCAAAUCCCUGGCCCGGCGAGGGGCGCUCCCAGCCUCGGUCCUCCUCCUGGACCUCUUGGCCGACUCCCCGCAGCCGCACCUCCGCCUCGCCUUCGACCACCGGGGUAGGCAACCCGCCGAUGCCGACCCCGUCCGUUCCCCGGCGACCAACGCGAGCAGCGGAACCCCCGUAUCCAAUAGCAAUAUUCCUUACCCUCCCCCGUCUCCGGACGUCCUCGAGUUCUUCAGGAGGAUCCAUGGCGGCCUCCUGGUUUUUACCACCAGUGAUCUCGUCGGGCUCCGAUCGAGCUCGAGCGAGUUAGAGUACCUGUUCAAAAGCUCUCUGAAAGCGGUGAUAAAUGUGACCCAGUUCUCGGAGAGCCAUAGAUUCCAUUUCGUAGUGGCGGAUGUAAAUAAAACCCUAGCGGACAAACCCAGUGCAAUUAGUUGGCGCCCCGUUAUUAGCAUAAACUGCGUUUUCAAAAACUGCGCCACCAGAGAUUAUGUCCAGUUCAAGACCGAAUUCCUGAUUCCGAACGCGACGGCCUGGAUUCGACGGAUAUCACACUGGAACGUUGCUAGCCAUCAUCAUGCCGGCGCAACCUGUGAUGACGUCACUUUUUGCAUAGAAAGCAGUGGUGAUUUUUUUCGCGAGGAGCAGUAUGGUGCUCUUUUAAUGGGCAUUGUCUCAUGUGCAGUGUUUGUGGCCUUGUCGGUUGUCUGCUGUUUUGCCAGGAGACAAUAUUUAAGAUCUAAAACUGCCAAAGGUCCUGUGAAGAUUUUGCUUACCCCCGCAGACUUUGUCUUCCCAAUUGUGCAAGAUGCGAAUGGCUUACAGGAGUUGGGGACAGGGAGCGCUUCGAUCGCCGAGAAGCCGGAUCUGCUGAAAGGCUCCGUGCUAUCGCUGAAAUCACAGCAGACGCAGCAGCGGAAAAGCAGCACCAGCUCUGUCAGCUUAUCCCGACCUUUCAUCGUAGACUCCAAAGCCAGAUACAACGUAAGUCAAGUCACAAGAUUCAUCGGCAACAGUUGUUAUAAUAAAGCGUUGCCAUUAACGGAUUUUAAUUCCGAAUAAAAAGUCU
rnacentral:lncRNA from 1 species